CUUGAAUGACAACAAGAGCGACGGGCGAUAUGUGCAUGUUAAAUUGCCAUUUCAGGUCUAAUUUUUAUUUAAACCUUAUUUUCGAGUCCUAUUUCGGAAUUCCUUAUUUCAGCUUCCAACUAAUGUAUCCCACGCUUUCCUUAAAAUUACCUUUGUAUUGAUUUGUUUUUUAAAAAUGUUUUUUAUUGAGACUUGGUCAUAUAUUCUUGCCCCUUCAAACAAUGAUAUAAAGGGUAAGAUUCUUGGUCAAUUCGAUCGUGGGUUAUCGAUUAUAAUGCAGGAUCCCCCGCAAGGGUCUUACACCGCCAUUUCGUUUAGGUUUCCCUUAUUUAGGUACUUUCUUUAAUUACAUUAAAA
rnacentral:rRNA from 1 species